UUUCGUGACUUUCAUAUUGGUUUCGUGUUUCGUGAACCUUUCCACAGAACCUUCCUAAAAAAUGCACUUUAGUGUUCUGUGAUAAUAUAGAUUAAUCAAAAUCAAAAAUAUACUUAAUAAUAUUUAAAACCUACAGCACCACUAAUAAUCAAUAUAAAAAUAUUUUUUAAAUUAAUUUAGAUCUACAAUCGGUCAAGUUCAUAAAAGAUUUAGACCGCUAACACGUUAUAUUAUAUUGUGGCUUGAUAACAUUUCCAGCUUUGUUUCCAGCCAUUAUUACAGCAUAUUUCUUUAGAACCUUGCCUAGACCCUACAGACAUGUCUGAAGAUGUAAAAACAUUCCAAGGAGUUAUCGACAGAUAUAAUGGAAUAACUGUGGACUCUCAAGAUGAACCGUGUGAUCAAGAUCAGUUUACUGCUCAACUGAUAAACUCAUUAGGAAAAUGGGAUGAAGAACAAAAAAGAUGUAUUUGGUUCAAAGUACAUAUCAAAGAUGCAAUAUGGGUACCAGUACUUGCUAAUGAAGGGUUCAAUUUCCAUCACUCAAGGGACAACUUUGUAAUGAUGUACAAAUGGUUACCGAAGAAUAGAGAAGCUAACUUACCACCAGCCUGUCAUACUAAUCUAGGAGUUGGAGGCUUAGUUUUCAAUGAUGACAGUGAAAUACUUGUUGUGACUGAGAAGCAUUUUGAGUAUGCUCAUUGGAAGCUACCUGGUGGUUAUGUAGAAAGAGGUGAAGACAUUAAGGAUGCAGCAAUACGAGAAGUGAAAGAAGAAACUGGUAUUGAUGCAGUGUUUGAGUCAAUGGUCACUUUGAGACACACACAUAAUGCAAUGUUCGGUAAUUCAGACAUUUACAUAGUGGUUAUGUUAAAAGCCACUUCAACAGUUAUAACAAAAUCAGAAGAAGAAAUCAAAGAGUGUAAGUGGAUGAAAAUAGAUGAAUAUCUUAGUCAUCCACAUGCACAUGAAUUCAAUCGCUUUAUUGUGAAACAAGCAUUAGAAUUAAAGGAAAAGAAUAUUAAGUUUAACCUUCUCAAGAGUAAUGUUAAAGUUGCAAAUUGGUCCAGAGAUAUAACUUCACUUGUUGUAGAUGUUUAAUUUUUCCAAAUGUAAAUAAAAUUGGUAAAUGUCCAAAUCAACAAAGGGAAAAGGUUCUGCCAUGUUGUGGCAUCUUUUACGAUGCUAGAAAAAAUUAUAUUGGAUCAAAUAUAGGUAAUUAGGCAGAAUAUGGCACAAUAUGGCAGACACAAUAUCCCUUUCUAAGUUGGGAUGCUUAUUAUAUCCUGUCGAGGGAAAUAUAAAAUGUAUGUGUUAUAAUCAUUUUAACUUAUCUCAAUUGGUUUGGGUUUUAUAAUUGAGAGCUAAGUACUCUGAAACUUUUAUUCUGGUAUUUUACAGUGGUAAUUCCUAAAUUGUCUACAAAUGUAAUAUGUAUAUAUUUAUAUUCAGAGAAAAAAACUGUAGUAUAAAAUAAUUAUUAAAUUAGUAUGUUUUAUUUUGAUAAAAGUUGAAGUACAAAUGUAUGUAAAUAAUAUUUAAUAAAUAGAAAAACCAAAGAACAAGUGAUUGUAGUAUGUUAUUAAUCUAUAUGAUACAAUUAUUUAAAACAUUUUUGUUAUAAACAUACACUAUAUGUAUUAUACGACAGUGGCUUUAUGAUCUAAGUUCUGAAGUUGUAAUGGGGCUACAAAUAUGUUGGUGAUGUAGCAUUUACUUCAAAGUUCCUAUUUAAUAAAAACAAAUCACUCAUAGUUCACAUAAA